AGAGUUUGAUCCUGGCUCAGGAUGAACGCUAGCGGUAGGCCUAACACAUGCAAGCCGAGGGGUAACAGUUACGAUUUAUCGUAAGCUGACGACCGGCGCACGGGUGCGUAACGCGUAUGCAACCUACCCUUAACAAGAGGAUAGCUCGAGGAAACUUGAAUUAAUACUCUAUAAACUUUACUAUUUGCAUAAAUAAAAAAGGAAAGCUUCGGCGGUUAAGGAUGGGCAUGCGUAGCAUUAGCUAGUUGGUGAGGUAACGGCUCACCAAGGCAACGAUGCUUAGGGGUUCUAAAAGGAAGAUCCCCCACACUGGUACUGAGACACGGACCAGACUCCUACGGGAGGCAGCAGUGAGGAAUAUUGGGCAAUGGAUGGAAGUCUGACCCAGCCAAUCCGCGUGCAGGAAGACGGCCGUUAAGGUUGUAAACUGCUUUUAUACGAGAAGAAACGCUGUUACGUGUAACAGUUUGUCGGUAUCGUACGAAUAAGCAUCGGCUAACUCCGUGCCAGCAGCCGCGGUAAUACGGAGGAUGCAGGCGUUAUCCGGAAUUAUUAGGUUUAAAGGGUGCGUAGGCUGUCAGAUAAGUCAGUGGUGAAAUACUUGGGCUCAACCGAAGAACUGCCAUUGAAACUAUCUGACUAGAAUACGGUUGAGGUAGGCGGAAUGUGUAAUGUAGCGGUGAAAUGCAUAGAUAUUACACAGAACACCAAUUGCGAAGGCAGCUUACUAAACCGUUAUUGACGCUGAUGCACGAAAGCGUGGGGAUCAAACAGGAUUAGAUACCCUGGUAGUCCACGCCGUAAACGAUGAUCACUAGUUGUGUGCGAUAUAUAGUACGUGACUGCGCGAAAGCAUUAAGUGAUCCACCUGGGGAGUACGUUCGCAAGAAUGAAACUCAAAAGGAAUUGACGGGGGCCCGCCACAAGCGGAGGACAUGUGGAUUAAUUCGAUGAUACGCGAGGACUACCGGCUAAUGGCUAAUGACCGAUAAGAGAAUAACUCCCUCCCGGACAAUAUAUUGGAAGGGUGUCUGCGCCACGGCGU
rnacentral:rRNA from 1 species